rnacentral:rRNA from 1 species
GACGAACGCUGGCGGCGUGCUUAACACAUGCAAGUCGAACGGAAAGGCCCUGCUUUUGUGGGGUGCUCGAGUGGCGAACGGGUGAGUAACACGUGAGUAACCUGCCCUUGACUUUGGGAUAACUUCAGGAAACUGGGGCUAAUACCGGAUAGGAGCUCCUGCUGCAUGGUGGGGGUUGGAAAGUUUCGGCGGUUGGGGAUGGACUCGCGGCUUAUCAGCUUGUUGGUGGGGUAGUGGCUUACCAAGGCAUUGACGGGUAGCCGGCCUGAGAGGGUGACCGGCCACAUUGGGACUGAGAUACGGCCCAGACGCCUACGGGAGGCAGCAGUGGGGAAUAUUGCACAAUGGGCGGAAGCCUGAUGCAGCAGCGCCGCGUGCGGGAUGCCGGCCUUCGGGUUGUAAACCGCUUUCGCCUGUGACGAAGCGUGAGUGACGGUAAUGGGUAAAGAAGCACCGGCUAACUACGUG